rnacentral:tRNA from 1 species
GAGGGUACAGCUCAGUGGUAGAGUGUGUGCUUAGCAUGCACAAGGUCCUGGGUUCAAUCCCCAGUACCUCUG